AUACGUAGGGGGCGAGCGUUGUCCGGAAUGAUUGGGCGUAAAGGGCGCGUAGGCGGCCCGGUAAGUCUGGAGUGAAAGUCCUGUUUUUAAGAUGGGAAUUGCUUUGGAUACUGUCGGGCUUGAGUGCAGGAGAGGUAAGUGGAAUUCCCAGUGUAGCGGUGAAAUGCGUAGAGAUUGGGAGGAACACCAGUGGCGAAGGCGACUUACUGGACUGUAACUGACGCUGAGGCGCGAAAGUGUGGGGAGCAAACAGGAUUAGAUACCCUGGUAGUCCACACUGUAAACGAUUAAUGCUAGGUGUAGGGGGUAUCGACCCCUUCUGUGCCGCAGUCAACACAAUAAGCAUUCCGCCUGGGGAGUACGGCCGCAAGGUUGAAACUCAAAUGAAUUGACGGGG
rnacentral:rRNA from 1 species